rnacentral:rRNA from 1 species
CAAUAGCGUAUAUUAAAGUUGUUGCGGUUAAAGCUCGUAGUUGGAUUUCUGCUGAGGACGACCGGUCCGCCUCUGGUGAGUAUCUGGCUUGGCCUUGGCAUCUUCUUGGAGAACGUAGCUGCACUUGACUGUGUGGUGCGGUAUCCAGGACUUUUACUUUUGAGGAAAUUAGAGUGUUUCAAGCAGGCACACGCCUUGAAUACAUUAGCAUGGAAUAAUAAGAUAGGACCUUGGUUCUAUUUUGUUGGUUUCUAGGGCUGAGGUAAUGAUUAAUAGGGGAUAGUUUGGGGGCGAUUCGUAUUUAACUGUCAGAGGUGGAAUUCUCGGAUUUGUUAAAGACUA